rnacentral:rRNA from 1 species
CAUGGCUCAGGACGAACGCUGGCGGUGUGCUUCACACAUGCAAGUCGAACGAGGUAGCAAUACCUAGUGGCGGACGGGUGAGUAACGCGUGGGAAUCUGCCUUAAGAUGGGGGAUAACGAGCCGAAAGGCUCGCUAAUACCGCAUAUGCCGAAAGGUGAAAGGAGUAAUCCGUCUUAAGAUGAGCCCGCGUCCGAUUAGCUAGUUGGUAGGGUAAAGGCCUACCAAGGCGACGAUCGGUAGCUGGUCUGAGAGGAUGAUCAGCCACAAUGGGACUGAAGACACGGCCCAUACUCCUACGGGAGGCAGCAGUGGGGAAUUUUACGCAAUGGGGAAACCCUGACGUAGCGACACCGCGUGAGCGAAGAAGCCCCCUUGGGGUGUAAAGCUCUGUCAGCUGGAACGAAAAAAUAGACGGUACCAGCAGAGGAAGCAUCGGCUAACUACGUG